rnacentral:rRNA from 1 species
AAGAUUAGUAUAAACGAGUGGCAAACGGAUGACUAGGAUGUUAUAAUUUGAGGACGUUAUAAAUACGAAAGAUGGGCAGAGAAGGUAUGAAAGCCCAUUUUCCAUAAGGAAACUGAAAUUUUCAACCCUAGGAAUUGAAACAUCUUAGUACUAGGAGGAAAAGAAAUCAAGCGAGAUUCCGUGAGUAGUGGCGAGCGAAAGCGGAUAUAGACUAUGGAAUCCCGCCUUUAGGGGCGGGGAUGAAAUUGAAAACCAAAGAGGGUAACAGGCCCGUAGAUAAAAUCGAUGAUUCCAUAGUUCUUGGAGUAGAACUAUUUGAAGAAAGGUGCUCCAUAUAUCUNAAAACUAAAUAUUAUAACAUACCAAUAGUGAAUUAGUACUGUGAAGGAAAGUUGAAAGAGAUAAUAGUGAAAUAGAACCUGAAAUUUGCCAUCUCACAAGCAGACGAAAUUCGUUGUACCUUUUGUAUAAUGGGUUCGCAAGAUAAAUAUUUGGCAAACUUAAGUUAAUAGACGUAGGUGUAGUGAAAACGAGUUUGAAUAGAGCGUUAGUCAAAUAGAGCCCGAAACCAAGUGAUCUAACCAUGGGCAGUUUGAAACCCGUUUAAUAGCGGGCGGAGGAACGAACCGGUGAUUGUGGCAAAAANUCUCGGAUGACCUGUGGUUAGGGGUGAAAAGCCAAUCGAACUUGGAAAUAGCUGGUUUUCUGCGAAAACUAUUGAAGUAGUGCGUCAUAUCAGUAUAUUCUUACACAGUAAAGCACUGAAUGGGUUUAGGGGUUAUGCCUACUAAAUUCAACCAAACUAUGAAGGUGUAAGGAGAAAAUAUGAUAGACAGACAGUGGGCGAGAAGGUCCAUUGUCAAGAAGGAAACAACCUAGAUCAGAAGUUAAGGUCAUAAAUAUAAUCUAAGUGUAAAAGGGAAUUUUUAAAUUAAGACAAUGAGAAAGUAGGCUUGGAACCAGCCAUCUUUGAAAGAUUACGUAACAGUUCACUCAAUAAAUUUAUAGAUCCCNAAAAAUUAUGGUGGCUUAAGCUUAGCGGGAUGCUAGUAAAACCGAAACUCUGAAUAAAUACCAUAAGGGGUCAUAGUAAAGAAUACCCCGGUGGUUUAUAGUGGUAGCAGAACGUACUGUAAAUAAUAACCAUCGAGUGGUUAUUGCGAAAGCGUUUAUCAGGAGUGAUAAUGCGAACAUGAGUAAAAAACAGUGUGAGGAUCACUGCUCACGGCCCAAGGUUUCCAAUCAUAGGAUUAUCCGGAUUGGGUUAUACAGUCCCUAAGAGGGUUUCAUAGUAUUCGGCGCCGACGGUAUCAGGCUCCAUAGGAGCCUGUGCCUCGGUGCUAUUUCGAUGGGAGUAUUUAAUAACAAGUGUCUAAGAUAUUAUAAGAAAUUAUUCAGCCCAAUAAAUUGGGCUCGGCUGUACUAAAACUAACACAAGUGGGCAUAAAAGUGAUGGUAUAAUUUAUCUUAAGGAACUCGGCAAAAUGUCCCUGUAAGUUCGCAAGAAGGGGAGCCAGUUAUAGACAGAGGUAACCUGGAUUAGGUUAUCUAAUUUGACUGGUCUCAGAAAAGAGGGGGUGUCGACUGUUUACCAAAAACAUAGCUUCCAGCAAAGGGCCAAGGGCCUGAAGUAUUGGAGGUGAGGCCUGCCCAAUGGUUGUAUCUAAAACCAAGUAAUAAAAAAAGUUAGCUUGGGUAAGGACAAUUGAAUGGCCGCGGUAAAUCUGACCGUGAUAAUGUAGCGCAAUCAAUAGCCAAUUAAUUGUUGGCAAGUAUGAAUGGCUUAACGAAUGCCCCGCUGUCUCAAGAUAAAAACCAAUGAAAUUGAAUUCGUAGUGAAGAUGCUACGUAUAAAUUGUUAGACGAGAAGACCCCAUUGAGCUUUACUGGAGACUUAUAUGGUUCUUUACCAAUGAAUUGUGUAGACUAUGUGGGUAAACCCUCGCGUAUGCCGGCACGGAAGUGUAGCUUCCAUGCCGCAUGGGGUUAUAANNNNAAAAACCACUCUUUAAUUAUAAAAAGAACUAAAAUAAUGGAAAGGUAUAUGUCGGACAGUUUGGUUGGGGCGACCGCCUUCUAAAGAGUAACGAAGGCGUACAUAAGGUUAAUAAUAUAAUAGUAUUAAGUUUAAAGCCUGACAGUAAGGAGGACGUCCGAGCUGACACGCCGUAGGCAGCUGGCCUAUUCCGUGGGUUAUAAUGACCCGUUAGCUUAGAAUGGGAUAGCUAACGAGCAACGAAUAAAAGUUACCAUGGGGAUAACAGCGUAAUAUCGUUUGAGAGUUCAUAUCGACGACGAUGUUUGCNACCUCGAUGUUGAAUUGCGGGAUCCUGGAGGUGCAGCCGCUUCCAAGGGUUGGACUGUUCGUCCAUUAAAGCCGUACAUGAUUUGAGUUCAGACCGGCGUGAGCCAGGUCGGUUUCUAUCUACAAUUUAUGUAGGAAACAUUAGAUAUAACUAUAUUCUAGUACGAAAGGACCGAAUGAUUAGUUAUCCGCUGGUGAACCAAUUGUAGUUAAUCAAGGUCGAUGGACUCUGUCGGCCUGAAGUAUUACUGUUGGGUGGCUACGAUAAUUAAAAUAAUCACUGAAUGCAUCUCAAGUGAGAAGUUAAAUAUCAUUCUAUGUUUCCAAUAUAUAGACUGUUUGAGAAUAAAACGUGGAUAGGAUCUGUGUUUAUUAUUCUAAGCUAAAGAUUACUAAUGGUCUAAUUUACUAAUCAU